GGGGACGGGGGGUUGGAGACCCAUCGGAAAAUUGAGACCUGUCGGAAAAUUGUCAAUAGCGAGUUUGAGCAAGACAACGAAGUACGAAGACGAAGGCGUAUACUUGUCAAUUUUUGCCGUAGACAUGUACAUUAUCUUGCGCAUACUGAGUUGGACGUCACUGGUGAUUGCUCAACGUGUCUUCCCAUGUGUCGCUGUUUGUGCAUACUGACCCUAAUUCUUGCCCCGACCCAGAAAAAAACAGCGAGACAUGAAACUAUAUCCCGUCUUUGUCCUUCUGCCUUCGUUCGGAACGAAGUUCACAGCGAAUUUUGCCAAAAUAUUUGCGAAUUUUUCGUUGUGAACGAAGGCAUUCUCGUACCCAGAGCCCUUCUUACGCGCGGUGCGAUGAGGGGCUCUGGCCAAAUCCAUAACCGGAUACCAUAUGGUAAGAAAACAAUAUCUGGUGUUAGAACUAGCC